AUUGAACGCUGGCGGAAUGCUUUACACAUGCAAGUCGAACGGCAGCACGGACUUCGGUCUGGUGGCGAGUGGCGAACGGGUGAGUAAUACAUCGGAACGUGCCCAGUCGUGGGGGAUAACGUAGCGAAAGCUACGCUAAUACCGCAUACGAUCUAAGGAUGAAAGCGGGGGAUCGCAAGACCUCGCGCGAUUGGAGCGGCCGAUGGCAGAUUAGGUAGUUGGUGGGGUAAAGGCUCACCAAGCCGACGAUCUGUAGCUGGUCUGAGAGGACGACCAGCCACACUGGGACUGAGACACGGCCCAGACUCCUACGGGAGGCAGAAGUGGGGAAUAUUGGACAAUGGGCGGAAGCCUGAUCCAGCAAUGCCGCGUGUGUGAAGAAGGCCUGAGGGUUGUAAAGCACUUUCAUUUUUGAAGAAGUAAUGUGGGUUAAGAGCUAGCAUUAUUGACGUUAGAGAAAGAAGAAGCACCGGCUAACUCUGUGCCAGCAGCCGCAGUAA
rnacentral:rRNA from 1 species